CUGCGGAGGUGUGGGGGGGUCGACGCGGGGUCCGCAGCGGCCUCGGCCCUCGUCCGCUGGCUGCGACUGCGCGCGGCUGCCGCGCGCGACUCCCGCGCUGGCCGGCUCGCGCCCUGGCUGUGGCGGCGGCGCGCGGACAGCGGGCAGGCGCGCGCCUCCUACGUUUCUACCUCCACCGCAGCGCUGGCCCAGAGCUCGAUGCGGAAGGGGAGGAGACAGGGGAGGGGAGGAGGGGCCAAGAAGUUUCUAGAGAGGUAACGAGAGGAUUUAAAAAGCCUGAGCGCGCAAGGGGUUGAGGAGAAAGUACGCAUUACGCGGCCAAGGGGGAGGGGAAGAGUCGCCUAGUGGGCGGGCGCGUUGUCAUCAGCGCACAGCAAAUCUUUUUUCUGCUAUAUAUUUUAGAUUUAUGUGAAAGCACAAAUAAGUACAAAGCAAAGUGCCUUCUCAGAAGCGGUAGUGGGGGUAGCUUGCACAUCUCUUGGCUUGCCGGGCUGGGGAAUCUCGUUGGAAAACUAUAUGCUUAAAACUGAGUCAGGAAAGGUGGAAGCAGGCUUAGUGUGCUUCUGACACAAGUUCUGUGGCUAAGAAUUACCUUUGAGUUGUAAAACGUUUGUAUGGGGGUGUUGAAGGGGGAUGGAGAAGCAUGUGAACACAACUGGAACGUGCAGUCCAGAAAGUCAUUGUUCCCAUCUUCAGGAAAGCACAGGUUAUCUUUUAGGUUGUGCACUUGCAGAUCACUGUUUCCAUACAGAUGCUGGGGCCUGCCUGCCAUGUGACACCAGCAGUCCUACAGUGCUUAUGAGGACAGAAGUCUCCAAGUUUUAUUGGUCACCCUCCUGUGUUUCCCUCCCAGCCUAGUGAGAAUGAAUGAUGUAGACUGUCUGUGGAGGGAAGGAUUUUUGAAGCAGCUAAUAUUAGCAUUUUUAGUUUCAUUUUGGAAUAGCAGGAAAUAGUUGUCAGUGAAUAAUUAUUUUAAGAUCGGGCUGGGUGAAUGUCUGGGGGGAGCUUUGAGGACCAAUUUCACAUGAGCAGAGCAGGAUUAUGAUAUUUUUCUAUUCUGGAUUCGAAAUUACAGUCAUGCAACAGAACAUGGAAUGUUAAAACUGUAGCUUUGCGUGCUUGCCCAGCAUGCUCAAGGGCACAUCUCAAGCCUUGAAAUUCAAGUUGUAAGUUAGCUACUUUUGGAUAAAAGGCAUUUAAGGCAUUUUUGGAGUUCAGCAUCAUUUAAUUUCUCCGUGUAGGCCUUGGACUGCUGAGACGGGAUUCAUCUAAUUGGAAGGGAUUACAUCAGAGCUAAUUGUCCUGAGCUCCCGUUGUAAUUAGGAGAGAUCCAGGCAGUGGAGUGUAGGAAGUGAUCCAUGUCACCCUAAAGAAGAGGUUUAAAAAGUAGGCCAGAGAGAUUGCUCCCUCCAAUGGCUUGUUUCUUUUCACUGAUAAUAAACGGAGCCCACAGAGACUAGCUGAGCUCUAA
rnacentral:lncRNA from 1 species